GAAGUAAAGUCGUACAAGGUUUCCGUAGUGAACUGCGGAAGGAUCAUUAAAAAUGUGGUACAUUAUGUACUAUUAAUCAUCUACCCUUUGUGAAUUGUUGUAUGAAUUUUUUAGAUGGGUCUUUCCCUAAGUGAUUGUUAGUAAAUACAAAAGACUUAGGGAAUGACUUUUUAAAAGACUUUUUUUUAAUUAAACUUUUGUAUUCAUUUGUCUAAAUUUAUUUUAUAAUAUAAAACACUUUGACAUGGAUCUCUUGGUUCUCGCAACGAUGAAGAACGCAGCAAAUGCGAUAAGUAGUGAAUUGCAGAAUACGUGAAUCAUCGAAUCUUCGAACGAUAUUGCACUUUUUAGUUUACUAAAAAGUAUGUCUGUUUGAGUAUCAGUAAAUAUUCUCACAACAUAUAUCGUUUGUGGUAUGAUGUUUACAACGAUAAACAAGUUGUUUCACUUAAAUUCUUUUAAUUGAAUUUACCAAUUAAAUUAAAAUUGGAUAAAUUUUCCUUUAACGAGUAACCUAAACAAUUUUAAAUUUUGGAUUAAAAAUCAUCAAGGAAUCUAUAUAAUAACUUGAUUCAAUCAGAUAGGACCGCUGAACUUAAGCAUAUCAAUAAGCGAGGAAAAGAAACUAACAGGAUUCCUUAGUAACGGCGAGUGAAGCGGGAGAGCUCAAAUUUGAAAUCUUCAAGGUUUGACCUUGACGAAUUGUAGUUUAUAGAAGUGUUUCUGUUGGAGUUUGGUAAAAGUUCUUUGGAAUAGACAUCAUAGGGUGAGAAUCCGUAUUGACCAUGACUUCGCUGUGUGAUACACUUUCAAAGAGUCGAUGUUUGGAAUGCAGUCCAAAUGGUGGUAAAUUAUCUAGCAAUAUUGGCGAGAGACCGAUAGCGAACAAGUACGAGGGAAAGAUAAAAGAACUUGAAAAGAGAGUUAACAGUACGUGAAAUUGUCAAAGGAAGCGUUUGACACCAGUGUUGUUUUCUCGAAAAUCAAUUAAUGAGUUUUGUUUUAAGUUAUUGUACUUAUCAGCGAUUCUUAUUUACUUGACUCAUUGAAUGCACUUUCGUUUAACAAGUCAACAUCAAUUUCUUUGGUGGUAAAAGUUUAAAGAAGUGGCUUGGACUUCGGUUCAAGUGUUUAUAGCCUUUUCUAUGCCAUCGGAGAGUUGAGUCUGCAGCGUAGAUCCUUCGGGUUAGAUACUUGUGCUAAGUAUAGUUUUUAUAGACAACUUGUUGACUAUAUUAACCCUGAAUUUACUCGCUUAGGCUAUUACUACGCUUAGGAUGUUG
rnacentral:misc_RNA from 1 species